rnacentral:rRNA from 1 species
AUUGAACGCUGGCGGCAAGCCUAACACAUGCAAGUCGAACGAGUGGCGGACGGGUGAGUAAUGUCUGGGAAACUGCCUGAUGGAGGGGGAUAACUACUGGAAACGGUAGCUAAUACCGCAUACCAUCGGAUGUGCCCAGAUGGGAGUAGCUAGUAGGUGGGGUAAAGGCUCACCUAGGCGACGAGCCCUAGCUGGUCUGAGAGGAUGAUCAGCCACACGUGAACUGAGACACGGUCCAGAAUCCUACGGGAGGCAGCAGUUGGGAAUAUUGCACAAUGGGCGCAAGCCUGAUGCAGCCAUGCCGCGUGUGUGAAGAAGGCCUUCGGGUUGGAAAGCACUUUCAGCGGGGAGGCGGUACCCGCAGAAGAAGCACCGGCUAACGCCGUGCCAGCAGCCGCGGUAAUAC